rnacentral:rRNA from 1 species
UAGGGAAUAUUGCACAAUGGAGGAAACUCUGAUGCAGCGACGCCGCGUGAGUGAUGAAGGCCUUCGGGUCGUAAAGCUCUGUCGCAGGGGAAUAACACAAUGAAGGUACCCUGUAAGAAAGGAUCGGCUAACUUCGUGCCAGCAGCCGCGGUAAGACGAGGGAUCCUAGCGUUGUUCGGAAUUAUUGGGCGUAAAGCGGGUGUAGGUGGCUAUGUAAGUCAAGUGUGAAAGCCUGGGGCUCAACCCCAGAAGUGCAUUUGAUACUGCGUAGCUUGAGUGCUGGAGAGGUUACUAGAAUUCUUGGUGUAGUGGUGAAAUACGUAGAUAUCAAGAGGAAUACCGGAGGCGAAGGCGGGUAACUGGCCAAGCACUGACACUCAGACCCGAAAGCGUGGGGAUCAAACAGG